AAGACUAUAGACCUGCGGAGUACCUGCGGAGGGAUCAUUACCGAGUAUCGGGUGCUCUCGCGCUCUACUCCCACCCUGUGCUUAUCUAUAACUGUUGCUUUGGCGGGCCGGUGGGUCACCCACCGCCGGGCGGCGCCUGGAGAGCGCCCGCCAGAGGACCAAGCAAAACUCUUUGUCAACAUGGUCGCAUCUGAGCACGCGAGAAUGAACAAAACUUUCAACAACGGAUCUCUAGAUCGG
rnacentral:misc_RNA from 1 species